rnacentral:lncRNA from 1 species
GAAAAGUUGACCACAGAAGCAUGUUUAUAUUGUAUUAAAACAAACUAUUUUUCUGGAAAGUUUUCCCAUUAAGCGUCUAACCUCCAAGCAUCGAAUCCCAGGCCAAUUUGUUUCAAAGUACCAACCUGGAGAAAAUGCCCUGGAUUUGGAAGCAAAGUAUUGAAUGUUGGAAGUCUGAAUAAAGGAAUCAUACACUGUAUGUGCACCUGAAUGUACUUUACAAGCAUCAGUAGAACACUUCUGAUUGAAGCUUGGUCUUAUGAAGAUAAAAAUUUUAUGUGGACCACAGAUUCUCUAAAAAUCAAUGCUUCCUGUCCUCAAACAUCGGACUCCAAAUUCUUCAGCUUUGGGACGGACUGGCUUCCUUGCUCCUCAGCUUGCAGACAGCCGACUGUGGGACCUUGUGAUCAUAAUACCACAGUCUGGAGGCUAUGAAGUCCAUGAUUAAGAAGCCAGCACGUUUGCUUUCUGGUUCCAAGAUGGCAUACCUUUUUGCUGCUUCCUCCAGAGAGGAGGAACACUGUGUUCUCACAUAGUAGAAGAUGGAAGGAGCAGAUGCAGAUGAGCAUGGCAAUGUGAGAAUAUGUCAGAGGCCCCAGGAUGAAAUGAGCUCAAGUCCCUGAAAUCCCUGUUAGAAGAGUCUUUCCACUGGUUGGGAAUGCUAAUUGUAUUUUGACAACUCAAUGUUUCAGCAACUCAAAAUGUUACAGCUUCUGCAUUGGAAUAAAAAAA